rnacentral:tRNA from 1 species
GCCGGGAUGGCGGAAUCGGUAGACGCAACGGACUUAAAAUCCGUUGGAGCUUACGCUCCGUGCGGGUUCGAGCCCCGCUCCCGGCACCC